CUACGGGCUGCAGCAGUGGGGAAUAUUGGACAAUGGGGGAAACCCUGAUCCAGCAAUGCCGCGUGUGUGAAGAAGGCCUGCGGGUUGUAAAGCACUUUCGGUUGGGAGGACUGCUUCUAGCACUAAUAUUGUUGGAAGUUGACGUUACCUUCAGAAGAAGCACCGGCUAACUCCGUGCCAGCAGCCGCGGUAAUACGGAGGGUGCAAGCGUGUAAUCGGAAGUACUGGGCGUAAAGCGCGCGUAGGCGGCUAGAUCAGUCGGGUGUGAAAGCCCCGGGCUUAACCUGGGAACUGCAUCCGAUACUGUCUAGCUUGAGUACAGGAGAGGAGAGUGGAAUUCCACAUGUAGCGGUGAAAUGCGUAGAUAUGUGGAGGAACACCAAUGGCGAAGGCAGCUGUCUGGCCUGAUACUGACGCUGAGGUGCGAAAGCGUGGGGAGCAAACAGGAUUAGAUACCCGAGUAGUC
rnacentral:rRNA from 1 species